rnacentral:rRNA from 2 species
UGGGGAAUAUUGCACAAUGGGGGGAACCCUGACGCAGCAACGCCGCGUGAAGGAAGAAGGUUUUCGGAUUGUAAACUUCUUUGAUGAGGGACGAAGUAAGUGACGGUACCUCAAAAACAAGCCACGGCUAACUACGUGCCAGCAGCCGCGGUAAUACGUAGGUGGCGAGCGUUGUCCGGAAUUACUGGGUGUAAAGGGCGCGUAGGCGGGGAUGCAAGUCAGAUGUGAAAUACCGGAGCUUAACACCGGGGCUGCAACUGAAACUGCAUUUCUUGAGUGUCGGAGAGGGAAGUGGAAUUCCCAGUGUAGCGGUGAAAUGCGUAGAUAUUGGGAGGAACACCAGUGGCGAAGGCGACUUUCUGGACGACAACUGACGCUGAGGCGCGAAAGCGUGGGGAGCAAACAGG